rnacentral:rRNA from 1 species
AUUGAACGCUGGCGGCAGGCCUAACACAUGCAAGUCGAACGAGUGGCGGACGGGUGAGUAAUGUCUGGGAAACUGCCCGAUGGAGGGGGAUAACUACUGGAAACGGUAGCUAAUACCGCAUACCAUCGGAUGUGCCCAGAUGGGAUUAGCUAGUAGGUGGGGUAACGGCUCACCUAGGCGACGAUCCCUAGCUUGUGUGAGGUGAUGACGAGCCCUACGGGAACUGGGAAACGGGCCAGACUCAUACGGGAGGCAUCAGUGGGGAAUAUUGCAAAAUGUGCGCAAGCCUGAUGCAGCCAUGCCGCGGGGAUGAAGAAGGCCUUCGGGUUGUAAAGUACUUUCAGCGAGGAGGCGUUACUCGCAGAAGAAGCACCGGCUAACUCCGUGCCAGCAGCCGCGGUAAUAC